rnacentral:rRNA from 1 species
UACGGGGGGGGCAAGCGUUGUUCGGAAUUAUUGGGCGUAAAGAGCUCGUAGGCGGUCUGUCGCGUCUGCUGUGAAAACUCGGGGCUUAACCCCGGGCCUGCAGUGGGUACGGGCAGACUAGAGUGCGGUAGGGGAGACUGGAAUUCCUGGUGUAGCGGUGAAAUGCGCAGAUAUCAGGAGGAACACCGGUGGCGAAGGCGGGUCUCUGGGCCGAUAUUGACGCUGAGGAGCGAAAGCGUGGGGAGCGAACAGG